GUGGUCUGUGAUGAUGCCUUUCCACCAUUAGUUCGAGUGUCAUGGCCAUGAGAUAACUCUACAUGCACUACCAUCUGAGGCCAC
ensembl:snoRNA SNORD33 Small nucleolar RNA Z195/SNORD33/SNORD32 family